rnacentral:rRNA from 1 species
CCUACGGGAGGCAGCAGUAGGGAAUAUUGCUCAAUGGGGGAAACCCUGAAGCAGCAACGCCGCGUGGAGGAUGAAGGUUUUCGGAUUGUUAACUCCUUUUGUUAGAGAAGAUACUGACGGUAUCUAACGAAUAAGCACCGGCUAACUCCGUGCCAGCAGCCGCGGUAAUACGGCGGGUGCAAGCGUUACUCGGAAUCACUGGGCGUAAAGAGCGCGUAGGCGGGAUAGCAAGUCAGAUGUGAAAUCCUAUGGCUUAACCAUAGAACUGCAUUUGAAACUGUUAUUCUAGAGUAUGGGAGAGGUAGGUGGAAUUCUUGGUGUAGGGGUAAAAUCCGUAGAGAUCAAGAGGAAUACUCAUUGCGAAGGCGACCUGCUAGAACAUAACUGACGCUGAUGCGCGAAAGCGUGGGGAGCAAACAGGAUUAGAUACCCUUGUAGUC